CUUUUUAUGCUGCUUUAUGAUUGAAUGCAGGAAAAUUCCCAACCCUUGUGACUCACCAAGAGUCGCUAGAGUCAAAGGUUAAUGAAAUAAAGGCAACUGUGAAGUUUCAGUUAAAGAAAGUGCUGUGCAUGGGUGUUGCUGUUGGUAACUGCGAUAUGGAGGACAAGCAGAUCUUCCAGAACGUGCAGAUGAGCGUCAAUUUCCUUGUCUCACUUUUGAAGAAGAAUUGGCAAAAUGUCAAGUCCUUGCACCUUAAGAGUACCAUGGGAACUCCUGUCCGCCUUUACUAAGGAGGUUAAGCAACCAUAGUUUUGUAAGAAGAGAAGAGUCUACCGUGAGCUGAACUGAGAAAUGUUUUCUUUGAAUAUUAGGAUUUUAUGUUUCUGGAUUUUUUUUUAAUGCUUCUUAUUUUUAUGAUUA